GACGAACGCUGGCGGCGUGCUUAACACAUGCAAGUCGAACGAUGAACCCGGAGCUUGCUCUGGGGGAUUAGUGGCGAACGGGUGAGUAACACGUGAGUAACCUGCCCUGGACUCUGGGAUAAGCGUUGGAAACGACGUCUAAUACCGGAUAGGACCUUGGAUCGCAUGAUCUGGGGUGGAAAGUUUUUUCGGUCUGGGAUGGACUCGCGGCCUAUCAGCUUGUUGGUGAGGUAAUGGCUCACCAAGGCGUCGACGGGUAGCCGGCCUGAGAGGGUUACCGGCCAGACUGGCACUGAGACACGGCCCAGCCUCCUACGGGAGGCAGCAGUGGGGAAUAUUGCACAAUGGGCGAAAGCCUGAUGCAGCAACGCCGCGUGCGGGAUGACGGACUUCGGGUUGUAAACCGCUUUUAGUAGGGAAGAAGGGCUUCGGCUUGACGGUACCUGCAGAAAAAGGACCGGCUAACUACGUG
rnacentral:rRNA from 1 species